UUUUUUUUAUUAGAGCAAAACUGGAUCAGAUGACGUCGAAUUAAAUUGUACUAGGAUUUUAAAAUUAAGGGAAGACCAAAUUGAGCGUCUGUCACAGCAACUUGAUUCUUUAAAUAAUUUAUACUAUAAUCAAAUUGAAAGCAAUAAAAAGUUAUUUUCUCAAGUAGAAGAAUUGAACAAAAGUAUUUUUUAUUUAAAUAAUAAAAUACAAGAGGAAAAAAAUAAUAGAAAUAGAGC